GCUGUGGUAGUUCAUUGGUAGAAUUCUUGCUUUCCAUGCAGGAGACCCAGGUUGAAUUCCCAGCCAGCA
rnacentral:tRNA from 1 species